AACGCACAUUGCGCCCUCUGGUAUUCCGGGGGGCAUGCCUGUUCGAGCGUCAUUACACCUCUCAAGCUCAGCUUGGUAUUGGGUGCCGUCCCCCGGGGCGCAUCUGGAAAUUAGCGGCAGUGCGGCCGGUGAUCAAGCGUAGUAACUACUUCCGCUUUGAGACACCCGGACGUGCCAGCCGGACAACACCCAAAUUUUUCAAUGGUUGACCUCGGAUCAGGUAGGGAUACCCGCUGAACUUAA
rnacentral:misc_RNA from 1 species